rnacentral:tRNA from 1 species
GAGGAUAUAGCUCAAGUGGUAGAGUGCAUACAAGGUCCUGGGUUCAAUUCCCAGCAUCUCCU